rnacentral:rRNA from 1 species
GGUGGGUAGCUUCCCGGAAACGAAAGUCUUCCGGUUCCGGGGGAAGUAUGGUUGCAAAGCUGAAACUUAAAGGAAUUGACGGAAGGGCACCACCAGGAGUGGAGCCUGCGGCUUAAUUUGACUCAACACGGGGAAACUCACCCGGCCCGGACACCGUAAGGAUUGACAGAUUGAUAGCUCUUUCAUGAUUCGGUGGUUGGUGGUGCAUGGCCGUUCUUAGUUCGUGGAUCGAUUUGUCUGGUUUAUUCCGAUAACGAGCGAGACUCUAGCCUACUAAAUAGUAACGAGAUUAUCAAUGUCUCAGUUGCUUCUUAGAGGGAUUUUCGGUGUUUAGCCGCACGAGAUUGAGCAAUAACAGGUCUGUGAUGCCCUUAGAUGUCCGGGGCUGCACGCGCGCUACACUGGCGAAAUCAGCGUGCUGUAUCCAUUCUCGAAAGGGAUUGGUAAACCCAUGAAAAUUUGCCGUGCUUGGGAUCGGAAAUUGCAAUUAUUUUCCGUGAACGAGGAAUUCCAAGUAAGUGCGAGUCAUCAACUCGCUCUGAUUACGUCCCUG